rnacentral:rRNA from 1 species
UACGUAGGGGGCAAGCGUUAUCCGGAUUUACUGGGUGUAAAGGGAGCGUAGGUGGUUCGAUAAGUCAGAUGUGAAAGCCCGGGGCUCAACCCCGGGACUGCAUUUGAAACUAUCGGACUAGAGUGCAGGAGAGGUAAGUGGAAUUCCUAGUGUAGCGGUGAAAUGCGUAGAUAUUAGGAGGAACACCAGUGGCGAAGGCGGCUUACUGGACUGUAACUGACACUGAGGCUCGAAAGCGUGGGGAGCAAACAGG